AUGGCUUGCAGAAAGCUAACGCUCUUGGUGGUUACUGUGUUUCUUUUGGCGGGGGCUGAAGGUCAGACCAUAACAGAGUCUGAACCAGCUGUUAGAAAGCCUGGAGAAUCCCACAGACUCACCUGCUCAACAUCUGGAUUUAGCUUCAGUAGCUCAGUUUGGAACUGGAUCAGACAGGCUCCUGGGAAAGGACUGGAGUGGAUAGCGCUCGUACACACAUCUAGUACUCCAAUCUAUUACUCCCAGUCAGUCCAGGGGAGAUUCACCAUCUCCAGAGAUGACUCCAGCAGUAAAGUCUAUCUGCAGAUGAACAGUCUGAAGACCGAGGACACUGCAGUGUAUUACUGUGCCCGACAGCCACAGUGA